GAGAUAACUCCUACGGGAGGCAGCAGUGGGGAAUAUUGCACAAUGGGCGCAAGCCUGAUGCAGCCAUGCCGCGUGUAUGAAGAAGGCCUUCGGGUUGUAAAGUACUUUCAGCGAGGAGGAAGGCAUUAAGGUUAAUAACCUUAGUGAUUGACGUUACUCGCAGAAGAAGCACCGGCUAACUCCGUGCCAGCAGCCGCGGUAAUACGGAGGGUGCAAGCGUUAAUCGGAAUUACUGGGCGUAAAGCGCACGCAGGCGGUCUGUCAAGUCGGAUGUGAAAUCCCCGGGCUCAACCUGGGAACUGCAUCCGAAACUGGCAGGCUAGAGUCUUGUAGAGGGGGGUAGAAUUCCAGGUGUAGCGGUGAAAUGCGUAGAGAUCUGGAGGAAUACCGGUGGCGAAGGCGGCCCCCUGGACAAAGACUGACGCUCAGGUGCGAAAGCGUGGGGAGCAAACAGGAUUAGAAACCCUUGUAGUCCUCCACU
rnacentral:rRNA from 1 species